UACGUAGGUGGCAAGCGUUGUCCGGAUUUACUGGGCGUAAAGAGCGCGCAGGCGGUCGUUCAAGUCGCGUGUGAAAGCCCCCGGCUCAACUGGGGAGGGUCACGCGAUACUGAUCGACUGGAAGGCAGGAGAGGGUAGUGGAAUUCCCGGUGUAGCGGUGAAAUGCGCAGAUAUCAGGAAGAACACCAAUGGCGAAAGCAGCUCUCUGGGACGGUACUGACGCUGAGACGCGAAAGCGUGGGGAGCGAACAGG
rnacentral:rRNA from 1 species